rnacentral:rRNA from 1 species
CCUCGGGAGGCAGCAGUGGGGAAUAUUGGACAAUGGGCGAAAGCCUGAUCCAGCCAUGCCGCGUGUGUGAAGAAGGCCUUCGGGUUGUAAAGCACUUUCAGUGGGGAAGAAAGCCUUGGGGCUAAUACCCUCGAGGAAGGACAUCACCCACAGAAGAAGCACCGGCUAACUCCGUGCCAGCAGCCGCGGUAAUACGGAGGGUGCGAGCGUUAAUCGGAAUUACUGGGCGUAAAGCGCGCGUAGGCGGUCUGAUAAGCCGGUUGUGAAAGCCCCGGGCUCAACCUGGGAACGGCAUCCGGAACUGUCAGGCUAGAGUGCAGGAGAGGAAGGUAGAAUUCCCGGUGUAGCGGUGAAAUGCGUAGAGAUCGGGAGGAAUACCAGUGGCGAAGGCGGCCUUCUGGACUGACACUGACGCUGAGGUGCGAAAGCGUGGGUAGCAAACAGGAUUAGAUACCCCAGUAGUC